UGAAACUCUUCCAGUUGGGAAUCAGCCAAAACGACCAUCUUCUAUGAAGGAAGAGAUUCUAUUUACAGGCCAAGUUGGUACUUGCUGGUUUCUGAAGAGGAAAAUGCAACACAGCCAUAGUGAAAACCUUUCAAAUGUUUUUACAGGGAAGGUGAUGGCUUGGCCAUUCUGCAUCGAGUGGAGCCCGCUCUACUACAGCCAGUCAUGGCGCUGGCCCUUGAGAUACUCCUUUUAAAGCCAGGGUUGCUCAACCACUCACAUUUUCAUAAAAAAACUACUGCAACAAAACACAAAACAAACCUGACUUAGCUUAGUGAGAGCUGCUGAUUAAUUGAUGCAUUUGCUUUAUGGUCUAAAAUGGGGUUUUAAUAAAUUUCUGCUCUGGUGGACACAUUCAGAGCCGACGUAUUUUAUAUCUGGGUUGCUUCUUCCUGCCAGGGCUUAGCAUUCUUAUCUCCCUCUGGGUCUCUAGGAAGGCAAAAUGCACACUUACCACUACUUAGAAUCCUACUUGCCUUGGGCGCUCCCAAAUCCCCAAAUGUAUUACAUCAAGUGUGAACAGGUCAACUUGCCCUCACCAUCUCUACGGUAGCUUUAUUUUCAUCAAUAAAUUUAAAGAUAAACUAUCAAAUCAGAAAUCAUGCGCAAAUGCAAACGCAGCGAAGACUCCCUAAUCUAGACUCCACUAACUCCAAGUCUGUCAUGAUUAUUCAUAAGUGUGCAAGUAUAAUAUCAAGAUGAUUUGACUGUAAGCAACAAAGAAUCAAACAAAAAUGGCCUGAACAAAAAAGACAAUUUGUUACCCCGUAUUACAAGAAAUUUGGGGGUUGAGUGCUUGAAAGGCUGAUUAAUUUAGAAACUUGACAAUAGGUCCCACUUUCCCUAUGGUAGCUACAGCCCCUCAUCCUUCAGACUUGCUAAAUGGCUGCAGCAUUGCCACAAAGAUGCUCCCACACAGCAGUGCUUCAAGACUGCAGAGAGGGGCUCCUUCCUCUGUCCCUUUCCCGAGGCUCCGCAGAAGACUCGCCUUCAUGUCACAUUCCACUCCUGUACUGGUCGCUUGGCAGGGGGAACGGAUUUACCAUGGUGGCCAAAGACCAAUUAAGAGUCACCCCUAGACCAUAAAGAGGCCCAAUCUCUGGAGAACACUUGGCUGCUCACUACCAAGCAAAUCUGGUACCCCUGGCAAGAAAGAGAUGGACACUUGGGCUUCUACCACCUUUUUGUUAUUGUGAAUAACACUACUAUGAAAAUGGGUGUACAAACAUCUCUCCAAGUCCCUGUUUUCAAUUCUUCUGGGCACAGAGGUAUACCUAAAAGUGGAGUUCCUGGAUCAUAUGGAACAAAGACUGCUGCCACGUCCUGCCCACAGUCCGCCGCACACAGUGGGGUGUACUUCCAGGACCUUGCUUCGGGCAUGUAACCUCCUCCAUCCAUUAAACCAUCGAUGUCUCUGUCACUGACUCCGGGCCCUUCCUUCCGUCUUGAGGCUGGGCAGGCCUGCGGGGUGCAGCCCAACAUGAGGGAAGAGCCUUAUUGAUCCUGGUCUGAUUCAUUAGGAGUCAUUUGUGUCCACAAGGGUGGGGAAGCACUUGCUUCUUACUGCAUUUUUAUCUUUGUAAACAUAGCCAUAGAACACCAGUUCACAGACUGAUAGGUAAAUGCUGUGGACUGAGUGUUUUGUGUGUCCCCUCCCCAAAUUCAUGUGUUGAAUUCCCAAUGCCCAAUGUGAUGGCAUUAGUAUGUGGGGCCUUUGGGAGAUGCUUAGGUCAUGAGGGUGGAACCCUCAUGAAUGGAAUUAGUGCCCUUAUAAGGAGACCCCAUAGAGUAGUACCCUUGCCCAUUCCACCAUGUGAAGACACAGGGAGAAGAUGUGGGCUGUGAACCAGCACGAGGGCCGUCACCAGCAUGAGACCACGUGGGCAGCUUGAUCUUGGACUUCCCACCCUCCAGAACUGUGAGAAAUAAAUUUCUGUUGUUCAUAAGCUAUGCAAUCUGUGGCAUUUGGUUACAGCAGCCUGAACGGACUAAGACAGUAAAUAAGAAAGAACUUAAUUAUUGUUUGAUUUGAUGCAAUAAAUUUGG